CGAAGAAACAGAUUGCCAGCCGACCACUAGACAGGAGAAUAAACCGGUCCUUGCACCAUGAAGACUUGCUUGUGGCUCACCUUGCUAUCCCUCGUCACCGUAGCCUGUGAGUUUGGAGGAUUGCCGCAUGUGGCCUUGGGUAAUCCUGUUCUUCCGAAACAGGCUGAAGAAGAUGCACUUGAGAAAGCAGGAAAGACACUGGAGACAGUGGGACGGCUGCUGCAGGGCGAGAAUGUUCCUUUAACCGAGGAGGCGCAAGAACAGUUGAUCAACGCUCUUCGGGUUGCGUCUAACAAUGGCGAAGUCUUGAGUGAGGAUGGCUCCGAGUACUUCCUGCCAAUCAUCAUUCGUGGAGUUGUUCAGGGUGCCAUCGCCCACGCUGUCCACAAGAAGUUGAACAAGGGCUAAGAACACUGCCAGUGAAUAGCUACAACGGGAUAACUAAAAU